UCCCCAAGAGUUGGCAGCUCUGUGAAAAUCCAUAUGAAAAUCCUGGACUGUCAAAGAUUUUAACCGGGUUUCUGGGAUACAGUUAGAUCUCAACUGUGCUACAAUUUUAACUAUGUUUUAAUGAGGGCAAGGAACAACCCGGCUGUAACUGGGUCACUUGAUUCAGUUAUAAUAGUAGUAUAAGUAACAGUCACAGAAAGAUUUUGCUUAUUUUUCUCAUGGUGACUUGUCCAUCUGGAUUACUUUGAAACAUCCUUCUGGAGUGAUAUUUGCUUGUACCUUUGCCAUUAAAUACAGAAGCUCUGUCUCAUGAAGUUUCCCUUUUGCACAGGGUGAUCCCUACACAUGCAAAAUAGCGACUGAUGUUCCUGGAUCAUUGCCUCUUUCAAGGUGACUAUAAAGGUCUGGAACAUUAAUCUCUGUCUUCUAUGUCUGUCUAUAUGUCGAGGAGCAAGCAGGAGGUGUAAUACAUGGCCAUGAAAAAGGAAGCGAGAGGGCAGGACCACCUGCAACAAAGACUGCAGCACAGAAAAAUAAAGCUCAUAUGAGAUUUGGAUUAGAG